AAGCCAGUGAGGAUUUAACUCUAUAAGUUGGAAUUACCGACUGAAUUCAUUGAUGAGAAAUUGCAAAUCUGAGGCUUUUU